rnacentral:rRNA from 1 species
AGUGAACGCUGGCGGUAGGCCUAACACAUGCAAGUCGAACGGCAGCACAGUAAGAGCUUGCUCUUACGGGUGGCGAGUGGCGGACGGGUGAGGAAUACAUCGGAAUCUACUUUUUCGUGGGGGAUAACGUAGGGAAACUUACGCUAAUACCGCAUACGACCUACGGGUGAAAGCAGGGGAUCUUCGGACCUUGCGCGAUUGAAUGAGCCGAUGUCGGAUUAGCUAGUUGGCGGGGUAAAGGCCCACCAAGGCGACGAUCCGUAGCUGGUCUGAGAGGAUGAUCAGCCACACGGGAAGUGAGACACGGCCCAGACUCCUACGGGAGGCAGCAGUGGGGAAUAUUGGACAAGGGGGGAAAGCCUGAUCCAGCCAUACCGCGUGAGCGAAGAAGGCCUUCGGGUUGUAAAGCCCUUUUGUUGGGAAAGAAAAGCAGCAGGUUAAUACCCCGCGGUUCUGACGGUACCCAAAGAAUAAGCACCGGCUAACUUCGUG